rnacentral:rRNA from 1 species
AAAAGCUCGUAGUUGGAGUUCAGAGUGAGCUCAAUCGGUCGGGAUUAUGUCUCAGAACUGGUUGACUCUCUCUUGUUUGUGGAUCCUGUUCGGAGUUAACUCUUCGGAUGUGGAGUCCACAUCGUUUACCUUGAAAAAAUUAGAGUGUUCAAAGCAGGCGUUUGCUUGAAUAUAUUAGCAUGGAAUAAUGGAAUAGGACGCUGGUUCUAUUUUGUUGGUUUUGAGAACCAGAGUAAUGAUUAAUAGGGACAGUUGGGGGCAUUCAUAUUUCAUUGUCAGAGGUGAAAUUCUUGGAUUUAUGAAAGAUGAACUUCUGCGAAAGCAUUUGCCAAGGAUGUUUUCAUUAAUCAAGAACGAAAGUUAGGGGAUCGAAAACAAUCAGAUACCGUCGUAGUCUUAACCAUAAACUAUGCCGACUAGGGAUUGGGCGUGGUUUGUUCAUUGACCCGCUCAGCACCUUACGAGAAAUCAAAGUCUUUGGGUUCCGGGGGGAGUAUGGUCGCAAGGCUGAAACUUAAAGGAAUUGACGGAGGGGCACCACCAGGAGUGGAGCCUGCGGCUUAAUUUGACUCAACACGGGAAAACUUACCAGGUC